GAUGAACGCUAGCGGCAGGCUUAACACAUGCAAGUCGAGGGGUAGAGGAAGCUUGCUUCCUUGAGACCGGCGCACGGGUGCGUAACGCGUAUACAAUCUACCUUUUACAGAGGGAUAGCCCAGAGAAAUUUGGAUUAAUACCUCAUAGUAUUUUCGGAUCGCAUGAUUUGAUUAUUAAAGUUCCAACGGUAAAAGAUGAGUAUGCGUCCCAUUAGCUAGAUGGUAAGGUAACGGCUUACCAUGGCAAUGAUGGGUAGGGGUCCUGAGAGGGAGAUCCCCCCACACUGGUACUGAGACACGGACCAGACUCCUACGGGAGGCAGCAGUGAGGAAUAUUGGACAAUGGCGCAAGCCUGAUCCAG
rnacentral:rRNA from 1 species